AUAUAUAUAUAACACAAAAUUUAAAAUAAAUAAAUAAAAAAAACAAUAAAAUAAAUUAUAUUGAUCAUCAUCAUAUAUUAUAUAUAAGAAAUUAUUAAUUCGCAUUUACUGCUGGCUUCAGACCGUGCGCAUGCAUACAUUGAGAAUAUAUAUAAUCUCUAGUGCAAGUGUUUCAAUUGGGCUCGAUUCGAUCCAUGCGUACAUUUCGAAAAAAAUCGCGAUUAAGAAACGCAACUUUCGAAUUAGUGGUAUUUAAGACUUAAGAUAACAUAAAAAUAAAGGAAAUAAAUAAAAAUAACUUAUACCCUUGUGUUAUGAUUACACCUUGAACUAGAAUCUGGUAACAAUGCUUGUAGUUUCAAGAUGAGAUCAUUAACUUCGUCAUUAGUGCUACUAAACCUCGUCGUCGCAGCUCGUCGGUUUGGCAUAAUUAACUUUCGGCUAAAGAAAUUUACACACACACACACACUAACUAUAUGUAGUAAAGCAGUAAUAUUACUGUGAAAAUUGUGGUUGUGGGGAAGCUCAAAGGAGAAAACGAGGCUCUUAAAUAAAGGAAC
rnacentral:lncRNA from 1 species